rnacentral:rRNA from 1 species
UACGUAGGGUCCGAGCGUUGUCCGGAUUUAUUGGGCGUAAAGAGCGUGUAGGCGGCCUGACAGGUCUGCUGUGAAAACUCGAGGCUCAACCUCGAGAUGUCGGCGGAAACCGUCUGGCUAGAGUCCGGAAGAGGAGAGUGGAAUUCCUAGUGUAGCGGUGAAAUGCGCAGAUAUCAGGAGGAACACCGGUGGCGAAGGCGGUUCUCUGGGAAUGUCCUGACGCUGAGGAGCGAAAGUGUGGGGAGCGAACAGG